CAAUAGCGUAUAUUAAAGCUGUUGCGGUUAAAAAGCUCGUAGUUGGAUUUCUGUCAAGGACAACUGGUCCGCCCUCCGGGUGAGCACAUAGUUUGGUCUUGACAUCUUGCUGGAAGCUGUUGCUGCACUUGGCUGUGUGGCGCAGUGUUCAGCACUUUCACUUUGAGGAAAUUGGAGUGUUUCAAGCAGGCACAUGCCUUUGGACACAGUAGCAUGGAAUAAUUAGAUUGGGCUUUUGCUCCAAUUUGUCGGUUUCUGGAGCUGAGGUGAGUAUUAAUGGGGAUUGUUGGGGGCAUCCGAAUUUAGCCGUCAGAGGUGAAAUUCUUGGAUCUGCUAAAGACGGACAACUGCGAAAGCGUUUGCCCAGGAUGUUUUCAUUGAC
rnacentral:rRNA from 1 species